CAAUUGAAGAGGGUCGUUUUGGCAUUGCUACUAAAAAACAACAACUGACUGUCUUACAUACACUAGACCAUGGAUGGGCAACUUUCAUGAUAAAGAGGGCCACAUUUUUCAUCAUAACCAUCGGAGGGCCACAUGACUGCACACUUCAACUAAACGUGGUGGUAUCCUGCCCCUGCGACGAUCAGCAAGCUACUUUCAGCUGUCGCCGCAUCACACCUGCAACCAUUACAGCUAUGGCAGAUAAGUUAACUAGUUCACUUGCACCUCUCUGUAACUAUAGUGGUUCUGUGGAGUGUCUUACUGAUGACCUCAACAUUGCCUUGUCUGUUACCAUUGAUUCAGUUGCUCCGCACGUAACUAAAAAACGAACAUUGAAAAAAACAGCUCCUUGGUUUAAUGCAGAAACGCGCAUUUUGAAGCGAAACUGCAGGAUCCUUGAACGUAAAUGGCGCUCGGCUAAACUUGAGGUCUUUCAUCUUGCUUGGCAUAAUAGUCUGAUCACCUAUAAGGGUGCGCUGACUAUUGCCAGGAACGCCUACUAUUCUAGUAUCAUUAAUUUGAAUAGAAAUAAUUAGAGCUGUCAGUUAAACGCGUUAUUAACGGCGUUAACGCAAACCAAAUUUAACGGUGUUAAAUUUUUUAUCGCGCGAUUAACGCAAUUAUUUUAUAAAAAAAAUAAAAAUAAAACUUUUUUUUUUUCCUUUGGCUCAAAACAAAGAAGCAGUAGCCUGACUGCUAUGUUCAAAUGACAUUUGUUCAAAGCAGUCGUUUAAUUGCACUAUAGGCUCUUUUUUUGUAUCGUCCUGUUUUGAUCAGUGUAUAUGCCAAUGUUGUUAUCAAUAAAAAAUCAUUUGCACAAGGCAAGCCGAUGCACUUCACCAUGUUGAUAAGAGAAUUAAAACGAGAAGAAUUAUGGGGAAAAAAAAUCAAGGCAUAGAAAAAUAAUUUGCGAUUAAUCGCGAUUAAUUAGAGUUAACUAUGACAUUAAUGCGAUUAAUCACGAUUAAAUAUUUUAAUCGCUUGACAGCUCUAGAAAUAAUCCUAAGUUUCUUUUUGACACGGUGAGGAGUCUCACUCAGAAACAGAAUCAGACCGUAGGCUCCU
rnacentral:lncRNA from 1 species